CAGUAGCCGCGGUAAUACAGAGUGUGCGAGCGUUAAUCGGAUUUACUGGGCGUAAAGCGUGCGUAGGCGGCUUCUUAAGUCGGAUGUGAAAUCCCUGAGCUUAACUUAGGAAUUGCAUUCGAUACUGGGAAGCUAGAGUAUGGGAGAGGAUGGUAGAAUUCCAGGUGUAGCGGUGAAAUGCGUAGAGAUCUGGAGGAAUACCGAUGGCGAAGGCAGCCAUCUGGCCUAAUACUGACGCUGAGGUACGAAAGCAUGGGGAGCAAACAGGAUUAGAUACCCCCGUAGUCCCUGUCUCUUAUAC
rnacentral:rRNA from 1 species